UGCAGUCGAACGGUAAGGCCCUUCGGGGUACACGAGUGGCGAACGGGUGAGUAACACGUGGGUGAUCUGCCCUGCACUUCGGGAUAAGCCCGGGAAACUGGGUCUAAUACCGGAUAUUACUGCGCGGUGCAUGCCGUGUGGUGGAAAGAUUUAUCGGUGCAGGAUGGGCCCGCGGCCUAUCAGCUUGUUGGUGGGGUAAUGGCCUACCAAGGCGACGACGGGUAGCCGGCCUGAGAGGGCGACCGGCCACACUGGGACUGAGACACGGCCCAGACUCCUACGGGAGGCAGCAGUGGGGAAUAUUGCACAAUGGGCGCAAGCCUGAUGCAGCGACGCCGCGUGAGGGAUGACGGCCUUCGGGUUGUAAACCUCUUUCAGCAGGGACGAAGCGCAAGUGACGGUACCUGCAGAAGAAGCACCGGCCAACUACGUGCCAGCAGCCGCGGUAAUACGUAGGGUGCAAGCGUUGUCCGGAAUUACUGGGCGUAAAGAGCUCGUAGGCGGUUUGUCGCGUCGUCUGUGAAAACCAGCAGCUCAACUGUUGGCUUGCAGGCGAUACGGGCAGACUUGAGUAUUUCAGGGGAGACUGGAAUUCCUGGUGUAGCGGUGAAAUGCGCAGAUAUCAGGAGGAACACCGGUGGCGAAGGCGGGUCUCUGGGAAAUAACUGACGCUGAGGAGCGAAAGCGUGGGUAGCGAACAGGAUUAGAUACCCUGGUAGUCCACGCCGUAAACGGUGGGCGCUAGGUGUGGGUUUCCUUCCACGGGAUCCGUGCCGUAGCUAACGCAUUAAGCG
rnacentral:rRNA from 1 species